rnacentral:ncRNA from 1 species
AAUCUAUCCAGAGCGACUGAGAGACCUAGCUCAAGGACGUCGCAGCAACCACCCCUGACGGGAAAGGUGCUCCCGCUAGGACCGAUAGAGU